rnacentral:rRNA from 1 species
GAUGAACGCUGGCGGCGUGCCUAAUACAUGCAAGUCGAGCGAACAGACGAGGCGUUUGCUCCUCUGACGUUAGCGGCGGACGGGUGAGUCACACGUGGAUAACCUACCUAUAAGACUGGGAUCACUUCGGGAAACCGGAUAUAAUAUCGGAUAAUAUAUUGAACCGCAUGGUUCAUUGGUGAAAGACGGUUUUGCUGUCCCUUCUAGAGGGAUCCGCGCCGUAUUAGCUAGUUGGUACGGUAACGGCUUACCAAGGCUACGCUGCGUAGCCGACCUGAGAGGGUGAUCGGCCACACUGGAACUGAGACACGGUCCAGACUCCUACGGGAGGCAGCAGUAGGGAAUCUUGCGCAAAGGGCGAAAGCCUGACGGAGCAACGCCGCGUGAGUGAUGAAGGUCUUCGGAUCGUAAAGCUCUGUUAUUAGGGAAGAACAAAUGUAUAAGUAACUAUGGACGUCUUGACGGUACCUAAUCAGAAAGCCACGGCUAACUACGUG